AGACAGAGAAAUUUUCAUUUGCAGCUGAACACAUCAAGGCUUGCAUUGUCUUGUUAUCUAACUCAGAAUGCAUUUCUCUUUCAGGACUCUCUAUGUUGCUGUUCCAUUGUCAGCCGAGCCGUUCACCCAUUGUGAGGGAGUGUGUUUACCGUGGUAACUUCAAUGAACACAAUCCAGUGACUCAAGAGCCGAAUGAACACGUGUGACUCAGGGAGACGCCAUCUCUAAUUACUCAGGCUGUGACUCAUCCCAGACAAUAUUUGUUCUGAGAACCCGACGUGCCGCUCUGUGGCAAACCAAUGUACGACGCACAGCUCCAAGACGGAUGACAGCAGUGGCAUUUCUGGACAUGAUCCUAAAUCAUACUUAUGACACCAUCCGUCUAAGAGCCGCCGCAGCUCAGGCUGAACCUGUCAUUUAAUGAAGAUACAUUAAGGCAUUUUUCUAUGGACUGUGUGUCUAGAAACUGAACUGCCAUAUCGCCAGUGAGUCUGCAGUUUUAAGGACGUCCCAUCAGUGAGGGGCAAAGAAGCAGAACUUCCUGGAUCUGAGGUGUAGAUUCAUAACUAAAUCAUCCAGCAUUCCCACAAGAUCAUCCUGUACAAUUCGCCUGGAGCAGUGUUGACAGACCUGGCCAAACGGAAGUCUGCUGGGGAAAUCUGCUGUUUUACCACAUCAGUUAGAGCACGCUAGCGUCUGGGGUAUUUCGUGUCCUCCGGCAAGCCCAGGCCCCAUCCGUUAAACACACUGACGGGCGUCUGGGCCCCUGCGGGAUUAGCAACUUUGCACUUGAAUGCCACUAUCUACACUUUAUACGGUCCAACUACAUUAUUCACAGUGCUCAUUAACAGUCCCGAUUAUUCCAGAUUUCACAUCGCCUGUAAAAUGCCAGGCUGAGUCAAAUGCCAUGAGCUGAAUUCUUAAGUCUCCUCUACACAAGACGAGUAAUUUGGAAAAAUAGAUCCGCAGCCCGGCUUGCCAAGACGGCGCUGUGAAUGUCAGAUUUAUUGACCUUCACAGAUACACGCCAUUCCGGUUCUUCAGCUCGGAUUAUGCAUUUAGAAGAGUUUAGAUCUGUUGAUCUUGUGAAAUUGUCCCAUUCAAGGUGAACGCCUGAAUUUGGCUAAUGCAGAAUAACUUCGGAGUAAAAUUCCAGUGAGCUCCUGUAAGAUGGAGUUUCUUGAGUCUUCAGCAGGCUGUUUUUGUCAGUUCAGCCCUGCUAGAAACACCUCAUUACAUGAAAUCUCUCAGAGAGGUAGAAGAGAUGUUUACAAUCAGUUUUGUACCAAAUACAUGAAGUAAAGCCAAAAUUUUUCCCCACCAUAAUACAAAAAGGCGUCAUGCAAAUCCUUGUCAUGACUCAUAUGUCUAAACAUUUCCUUCAUGUUUUGAUUGAACUCUUUCUGACCUAUAGUAGCCCUCUAACAGACAGAAAGCGAAUUAGUGUACAUGCACCUAAAUCAAAUCAUUCCAAACCAUGGUGUCCGGCACACAGCGUACCGCUCAAGUCAUCAUCAAUGUCACAUGCUUCAAAUGUGUUGUUGUCUUUUAGAAAUACAGUGCUGUGCGUUUCUGAUGGAGCCAGAUGGCUGGCAUGUUGCAUUGGCAGAAUAUGCAUCCAAUAUGUUCCAAACAGGGAUUUAUGCCAGAUAAUGGAAUAUUUCCCUGCCUGUCCAUCUAAGAGCGGCUUAAAGACCAGACCUGACUAGACAUUCAUUAGGAAACACCCAUCAAAAGCAUGUCCACAGUCGAUGUGAGCCAAACACUGAUGAACAAUAACAGAGAAAGAGCGUAAACAUCCGUCACCUUACCUGCCU